GGGUCUGUGGCUUAGUCAGGAUAGAGCGCCGGGCUUCUAACCCGGAUGUCGGGGGUUCGAAUCCCUCCAGGCCCG
rnacentral:tRNA from 1 species